AACCUGGGAACUGCAUUCGAAACUGGCAGGCUAGAGUCUUGUAGAGGGGGGUAGAAUUCCAGGUGUAGCGGUGAAAUGCGUAGAGAUCUGGAGGAAUACCGGUGGCGAAGGCGGCCCCCUGGACAAAGACUGACGCUCAGGUGCGAAAGCGUGGGGAGCAAACAGGAUUAGAUACCCUGGUAGUCCACGCCGUAAACGAUGUCGAUUUGGAGGUUGUGCCCUUGAGGCGUGGCUUCCGGAGCUAACGCGUUAAAUCGACCGCCUGGGGAGUACGGCCGCAAGGUUAAAACUCAAAUGAAUUGACGGGGGCCCGCACAAGCGGUGGAGCAUGUGGUUUAAUUCGAUGCAACGCGAAGAACCUUACCUGGUCUUGACAUCCACAGAACUUUCCAGAGAUGGAUUGGUGCCUUCGGGAACUGUGAGACAGGUGCUGCAUGGCUGUCGUCAGCUCGUGUUGUGAAAUGUUGGGUUAAGUCCCGCAACGAGCGCAACCCUUAUCCUUUGUUGCCAGCGGUUCGGCCGGGAACUCAAAGGAGACUGCCAGUGAUAAACUGGAGGAAGGUGGGGAUGACGUCAAGUCAUCAUGGCCCUUACGACCAGGGCUACACACGUGCUACAAUGGCAUAUACAAAGAGAAGCGACCUCGCGAGAGCAAGCGGACCUCAUAAAGUAUGUCGUAGUCCGGAUUGGAGUCUGCAACUCGACUCCAUGAAGUCGGAAUCGCUAGUAAUCGUAGAUCAGAAUGCUACGGUGAAUACGUUCCCGGGCCUUGUACACACCGCCCGUCACACCAUGGGAGUGGGUUGCAAAAGAAGUAGGUAGCUUAACCUUCGGGAGGGCGCUUACCACUUUGUGAUUCAUGACUGGGGUGAAGUCGUAACAAGGUAACCGUAGGGGAACCUGCGGUUGGAUCACCUCCUUA
rnacentral:rRNA from 1 species